rnacentral:rRNA from 1 species
CCUACGGGAGGCAGCAGUGAGGAAUAUUGGUCAAUGGACGAGAGUCUGAACCAGCCAAGUAGCGUGAAGGAUGACUGCCCUAUGGGUUGUAAACUUCUUUUAUAUGGGAAUAAAAUGUUCCACGUGUGGGAUUUUGUAUGUACCAUAUGAAUAAGGAUAGGCUAACUCCGUGCCAGCAGCCGCGGUAAUACGGAGGAUCCGAGCGUUAUCCGGAUUUAUUGGGUUUAAAGGGAGCGUAGGUGGAUUGUUAAGUCAGUUGUGAAAGUUUGCGGCUCAACCGUAAAAUUGCAGUUGAAACUGGCAGUCUUGAGUACAGUAGAGGUGGGCGGAAUUCGUGGUGUAGCGGUGAAAUGCUUAGAUAUCACGAAGAACUCCGAUUGUGAAGGCAGUUCACUGGACUGCAACUGACACUGAGGCUCGAAAGUGUGGGUAUCAAACAGGAUUAGAUACCCGAGUAGUC